rnacentral:rRNA from 1 species
GGAACAUGUGGUGUAGCGGUGAUAUGCAUAGAUAUCACAUAGAACACCGAUCGCGAAGGCAGGUGACCAACCAUGUACUGACGCUGAUGGACGAAAGCGUGGGUAGCGAACGGGAUUAGAUACCCCGGUAGUCCACGCCGUAAACGAUGGAUACUAGCUGUGGGGACUUCGGUCUCCGUGGCCAAGCGAAAGUGAUAAGUAUCCCACCUGGGGAGUACGUUCGCAAGAAUGAAACUCAAAGGAAUUGACGGGGGCCCGCACAAGCGGUGGAGCAUGUGGUUUAAUUCGAUGAUACGCGAGGAACCUUACCAGGGCUUAAAUGCAGGCUGCAUGGGGUAGAGAUACCCCUUUCUUCGGACCGCCUGCAAGGUGCUGCAUGGUUGUCGUCAGCUCGUGCCGUGAGGUGUCAGGUUAAGUCCUAUAACGAGCGCAACCCCUACCGUUAGUUGCCAGCAUGUCAAGAUGGGGACUCUAACGGGACUGCCGGUGCAAACCGUGAGGAAGGUGGGGACGACGUCAAAUCAUCACGGCCCUUACGUCCUGGGCUACACACGUGCUACAAUGGCCGGUACAGAGGGAAGCCACCCCGCAAGGGGGCGCGGAUCUACAAAACCGGUCACAGUUCGGAUCGGGGUCUGCAACUCGACCCCGUGAAGCUGGAAUCGCUAGUAAUCGGAUAUCAGCCAUGAUCCGGUGAAUACGUUCCCGGGCCUUGUACACACCGCCCGUCAAGCCAUGGAAGCCGGGAGUGCCUGAAGUCCGUCACCGCGAGGAGC